AUUUAUAUAGUUUAAGCCUAAAACACUACAUUUUCAUUGUAAAAUUAGAUAAUAUCUUAUAAAUA
rnacentral:tRNA from 1 species